CUAAAUACUCCUGACUGACCGAUAGUGAACCAGUACCGUGAGGGAAAGGCGAAAAGAACCCCGGCGAGGGGAGUGAAAAAGAACCUGAAACCGUGUACGUACAAGCAGUGGGAGCACCCUUCGGGGUGUGACUGCGUACCUUUUGUAUAAUGGGUCAGCGACUUAUAUUCUGUAGCAAGGUUAACCGUAUAGGGGAGCCGGAGGGAAACCGAGUCUUAAUUGGGCGUUAAGUUGCAGGGUAUAGACCCGAAACCCGGUGAUCUAGCCAUGGGCAGGUUGAAGGUUGGGUAACACUAACUGGAGGACCGAACCGACUAAUGUUGAAAAAUUAGCGGAUGACCUGUGGCUGGGGGUGAAAGGCCAAUCAAACCGGGAGAUAGCUGGUUCUCCCCGAAAGCUAUUUAGGUAGCGCCUCGUGAAUUCAUCUCCGGGGGUAGAGCACUGUUUCGGCUAGGGGGCCAUCCCGGCUUACCAACCCGAUGCAAACUGCGAAUACCGGAGAAUGUUAUCACGGGAGACACACGGCGGGUGCUAACGUCCGUCGUGAAGAGGGAAACAACCCAGACCGCCAGCUAAGGUCCCAAAGUCAUGGUUAAGUGGGAAACGAUGUGGGAAGGCCCAGACAGCCAGGAUGUUGGCUUAGAAGCAGCCAUCAUUUAAAGAAAGCGUAAUAGCUCACUGGUCGAGUCGGCCUGCGCGGAAGAUGUAACGGGGCUAAACCAUGCACCGAAGCUGCGGCAGCGAACGUAUCACCCAAGACAACUUUACGGAGUUGACGAUUGACGGAGCGAAGCGACGUCAAAGCGUUCAUUAAAGUCGAGUUGGCUUAGGGAUACGUUCGUUGGGUAGGGGAGCGUUCUGUAAGCCUGUGAAGGUGUGUCGUGAGGCAUGCUGGAGGUAUCAGAAGUGCGAAUGCUGACAUAAGUAACGAUAAAGCGGGUGAAAAGCCCGCUCGCCGGAAGACCAAGGGUUCCUGUCCAACGUUAAUCGGGGCAGGGUGAGUCGACCCCUAAGGCGAGGCCGAAAGGCGUAGUCGAUGGGAAACGGGUUAAUAUUCCCGUACUUGGUGUUACUGCGAAGGGGGGACGGAGAAGGCUAUGUUGGCCGGGCGACGGUUGUCCCGGUUUAAGCGUGUAGGUGUGUGUUCCAGGUAAAUCCGGUUCACUUUAACACUGAGGCGUGACGACGAGGCACUACGGUGCUGAAGCAACAAAUGCCCUGCUUCCAGGAAAAGCCUCUAAGCAUCAGGUAACACGAAAUCGUACCCCAAACCGACACAGGUGGUCAGGUAGAGAAUACCAAGGCGCUUGAGAGAACUCGGGUGAAGGAACUAGGCAAAAUGGUGCCGUAACUUCGGGAGAAGGCACGCUGACACGUAGGUGAAGUGAUUUACUCAUGGAGCUGAAGUCAGUCGAAGAUACCAGCUGGCUGCAACUGUUUAUUAAAAACACAGCACUGUGCAAACACGAAAGUGGACGUAUACGGUGUGACGCCUGCCCGGUGCCGGAAGGUUAAUUGAUGGGGUCAGCGUAAGCGAAGCUCCUGAUCGAAGCCCCGGUAAACGGCGGCCGUAACUAUAACGGUCCUAAGGUAGCGAAAUUCCUUGUCGGGUAAGUUCCGACCUGCACGAAUGGCGUAAUGAUGGCCAGGCUGUCUCCACCCGAGACUCAGUGAAAUUGAACUCGCUGUGAAGAUGCAGUGUACCCGCGGCAAGACGGAAAGACCCCGUGAACCUUUACUAUAGCUUGACACUGAACAUUGAGCCUUGAUGUGUAGGAUAGGUGGGAGGCUUUGAAGUGUGGACGCCAGUCUGCAUGGAGCCGACCUUGAAAUACCACCCUUUAAUGUUUGAUGUUCUAACGUGGACCCGUAAUCCGGGUUGCGGACAGUGUCUGGUGGGUAGUUUGACUGGGGCGGUCUCCUCCUAAAGAGUAACGGAGGAGCACGAAGGUUGGCUAAUCCUGGUCGGACAUCAGGAGGUUAGUGCAAUGGCAUAAGCCAGCUUGACUGCGAGCGUGACGGCGCGAGCAGGUGCGAAAGCAGGUCAUAGUGAUCCGGUGGUUCUGAAUGGAAGGGCCAUCGCUCAACGGAUAAAAGGUACUCCGGGGAUAACAGGCUGAUACCGCCCAAGAGUUCAUAUCGACGGCGGUGUUUGGCACCUCGAUGUCGGCUCAUCACAUCCUGGGGCUGAAGUAGGUCCCAAGGGUAUGGCUGUUCGCCAUUUAAAGUGGUACGCGAGCUGGGUUUAGAACGUCGUGAGACAGUUCGGUCCCUAUCUGCCGUGGGCGCUGGAGAACUGAGGGGGGCUGCUCCUAGUACGAGAGGACCGGAGUGGACGCAUCACUGGUGUUCGGGUUGUCAUGCCAAUGGCACUGCCCGGUAGCUAAAUGCGGAAGAGAUAAGUGCUGAAAGCAUCUAAGCACGAAACUUGCCCCGA
rnacentral:rRNA from 1 species